GCUGCCAUGGUUGAAUGGUACAAUUCGCGCUUGCCAUGUGCGAGGUCCGCGUUCGAUUCGCGGUGGUAGCA
rnacentral:tRNA from 1 species